rnacentral:rRNA from 1 species
CUGGACACUGAACAUUGAGCCUUGAUGUGUAGGAUAGGUGGGAGGCUUUGAAGUGUGGACGCCAGUCUGCAUGGAGCCGACCUUGAAAUACCACCCUUUAAUGUUUGAUGUUCUAACGUUGACCCGUGAUCCGGGUUGCGGACAGUGUCUGGUGGGUAGUUUGACUGGGGCGGUCUCCUCCUAAAGAGUAACGGAGGAGCACGAAGGUUGGCUAAUCCUGGUCGGACAUCAGGAGGUUAGUGCAAUG